rnacentral:rRNA from 1 species
GACGAACGCUGGCGGCGUGCUUAACACAUGCAAGUCGAACGGAAAGGCCCUGCUUUUGUGGGGUGCUCGAGUGGCGAACGGGUGAGUAACACGUGAGUAACCUGCCCUUGACUUUGGGAUAACUUCAGGAAACUGGGGCUAAUACCGGAUAGGAGCUCCUGCAGCAUGGGGGGGGUUGGAAAGUUUCGGCGGUUGGGGAUGGACUCGCGGCUUAUCAGCUUGUUGGUGGGGUAGGGGCUUACCAAGGCUUUGACGGGUAGCCGGCCUGAGAGGGUGACCGGCCACAUUGGGACUGAGAUACGGAGCAGACUCCUACGGGAGGCAGCAGUGGGGAAUAUUGCACAAUGGGCGGAAGCCUGAUGCAGCAACGCCGCGUGCGGGAUGACGGCCUUCGGGUUGUAAACCGCUUUCGCCUGUGACGAAGCGUGAGUGACGGUAAUGGGUAAAGAAGCACCGGCUAACUACGUG